GACGAACGCUGGCGGCGUGCUUAACACAUGCAAGUCGAACGGUGAUCUUGGGAGCUUGCUCCUGGGUGAUCAGUGGCGAACGGGUGAGUAACACGUGAGUAACCUGCCCCUGACUCUGGAAUAACUUCGGGAAACCGAAGCUAAUACCGGAUAUGACACAGAGCCGCAUGGUUUCUGUGUGGAAAGUUUUUUCGGUUGGGGAUGGACUCGCGGCCUAUUAGCUUGUUGGUGAGGUAAUGGCUCACCAAGGCGACGACGGGUAGCCGGCCUGAGAGGGCGACCGGCCACACUGGGACUGAGACACGGCCCAGACUCCUACGGGAGGCAGCAGUGGGGAAUAUUGCGCAAUGGGCGAAAGCCUGAUGCAGCGACGCCGCGUGAGGGAUGAAGGCCUUCGGGUUGUAAACCUCUUUCAGUAGGGAAGAAGCGCAAGUGACGGUACCCACAGAAGAAGCACCGGCUAACUACGUGCCAGCAGCCGCCGUAAAAC
rnacentral:rRNA from 1 species